rnacentral:rRNA from 1 species
UACGAAGGGGGCUAGCGUUUUUCGGAAUUACUGGGCGCAAAGCGCACGUAGGCGGAUUAGUAAGUCAGGGGUGAAAUCCCGGGGCUCAACCUCGGAACUGCCUUUGAUACUGCUGAUCUCGAGUCCGGAAGAGGUGAGUGGAAUUCCUAGUGUAGAGGUGAAAUUCGUAGAUAUUAGGAAGAACACCAGUGGCGAAGGCGGCUCACUGGUCCGGUACUGACGCUGAGGUGCGAAAGCGUGGGGAGCAAUUAGG